rnacentral:rRNA from 1 species
UACGGGGGGGGUAAGCGUUGUUCGGAAUUACUGGGCGUAAAGGGCUCGUAGGCGGCCAACUAAGUCAUACGUGAAAUCCCUCAGCUUAACUGGGGAACUGCGUGUGAUACUGGAUGGCUUGGAUUUGGGAGAGGGAUGCGGAAUUCCAGGUGUAGCGGUGAAAUGCGUAGAUAUCCGGAGGAACACCAGCGGCGAAGGCGGCGUCCUGGACUGGUACUGACGCUCAGGAGCGAAAGCGUGGGGAGCGAUCCGG